rnacentral:lncRNA from 1 species
GGCGCGCUGCGGAGGCACGUGGGCAGCAAAGUGAAUGGCGCAUUAGGGUUAGGGUUUCAAUUUUUUUACUGAAACAAGUUAAGGUUUUGGGCGUAUUGGGCCCUGGGUCAUGGGUUUGUGAUUUGGGUUGUAGUUUUGGGCCUGGGCAUAAAUUGGGUCUUACACAUAAUAAUCUCUUUGUUGUUGCUAUGGCUUCCUCGAAAGAUGGAGGCAUUCUUGCUGUUCCAGAGAAACCAAAUAAUAAUAGAAAAUAAAGACGGCCGCUUGGUUCCCUCAUAAUCGACAUCCCCUUCAAUUUUCAGAUUACAAUGAAGCCAUUGCUGUAAAUUCAUACUAAAAGAAACAUACGAAGCAACAAGUGUAAUUGAAUUACAAAUACACUUAGCAAAAUAACAGUCACGCAACACAUGGAUUACUCGACUUCAAAUCAAGCCCACAACGCAUGAUAGUGACCAUUACCGGCCAUGUGUCUCCUAACUUGUUCCUCGGUUGUCAUUAAGCACCCCUAGCCAAAAAUCCCAAAAAUUAUCUUUUAUAUUCAUAUAUGUUUGAAGGUUGAUUUUUUUUUACAUAAAACAAAUAAAUAUGUCUUCAUCAUGAAUGAAACAUGAAAUAUAAUAGUUGAUUUGUUAAAAUAUUAAUUGUAAAAAAAUUGUGAAACUAUGUAAAAUCAUAAUAAUUUUACACUAGUAAUACAUGUUAUACUCCAACAUGGACCGGACACGUGACAAUCCAAGAGAGAAUCAGAAAGAUAUUUACGAAUGGCUUUCCACCUCUCAUCCUCCGAUUGUCACCUAUUGCUUGGCCUCCUGAACAAAUUACCUCCUGUGGGACCAUUCGCUAGUAGCAAGAACAUAUCCAACAUUAAGUUACUUGUUGCUAUGGUCAGACCAACUGCUUUUAAGUGUGUGAAUACUCCUUUUAGGGACUAUUGGAGUCCACUUGAGCAUAACAACCCUAUACUAACCCUAAAGGAACAACAACAUGAGUCUCACCAUGUACGUCCUCAUGCACUCCAUAAUCACAAUUCAUUGGUAACGAACUGUAACACCCCUUACCUGAGACCGUUGCCGGAGUCGAGCACGAGGCGUUACCUGACUUAACUUACUAGUUCGGAGCAUAAAAAAAAGUUUCUUUUGAAAUUAAUUCACUCACAUUCAAUCAAUAUGUCCCUAAAAGAACUCUCGAGACCCUAAAAUAAAAAUAAUUUAUUUCACUAUUCACAAUAAAACUGUCCACCUGAACAGCAGUCACUAAAUUAAUUAUAACUCGAGGUACGAAACUCAAAAUUUAGAUCCUUAAAUUUUCCCUGAAACUAGACUCAUAUAUCUUUUUACCAUAAAUUUUUAAGAAUUUUUGGUUCAGCCAAUUAGUACAGUUUAUUAGUUAAAGUCUCCCCUAUUUCACUGAUUAACUGUCCUGACCUAUUGUCACUAAAAUUUAAUUAUCUCAUUGUACAGACUUCAUAUGGUGUUCUCACUUGUUUCUACAGAAAAUAGACUCAAUAAGGAAUCUAUAAAUAUAAAUUACAACUCAUAAAUAUUUUUUUACAAUUUUUAAUUAUUUUCUAAAGUCAGAACAGGGGAUUCCGAAAACCACUUUAACAUUGUCUAACUAAAAUGCAAAUAUCUCAUAAUACAUAAUUCCUUUGUCUACACUGUUAUUUUUCUAUGAAAAUAGACUCAAUAAGCUUUAAUUCUAUAUCUCAUCCACCCUCUAAUUCAUUUUCUACUAUCCUUGGUGAUUUUUUAAAAUCACAUCACUACUGCUGUCUCAAAACUGAUUCACUACCAAUUUUUACUUUUUCAUGAUUUCUAGGCAUAAUUUAUCACCUAGACUUUUAUAACAACAAACACCUUCAUACUUAGCCAUUUUAAUAACUAUUCAUCAUCAAAUAUUUGCAUAUCAUCCUUUAUCAAUAUCAUAAGGACAUACAUUCAAAAUGACUAAGUCCCUAUACAUGCCAUACCUGAUAAUAACAUGGGUACUUGGGUCUCAUAUCUGAUAAUAACAUGCCAAAGUUAUGUCCCAGACAUAGUCUUACAUGGGAUGUUUCCUGUACUGCCAAUGCCAUAUCCCAGAUAUGGUCUUACAUGGGAGUUCUCAUAUCGGUGCCCAUGCCAUGUCCCAGACAUGGUCUUACGGGGGACCUCUCAUCUCGGUGCCAACACCAUGUCCCAGACAUGGUCUUACAUGGGACCUCUUAUCUCGGUGCCAACGCCAUGUCCCAGACAUGGUCUUACAUGGGACCUCUUUACCCAAAUGUCAUGACAUUUGUAUCCAAUACACUCCUAAUGUUUCAACGGGGCUUUUUAACACUGAUUCUCUGUCAUCUCAUACUUGAGUCAACAUUAAAUAAAUUCAUGAAAUAAAUAUAUAAUUGCUGGAAAAUAACAACAUUAAUAAUAAUUAUUAAAAUAUUUCAUUUAUUUACCGUAAACUUACCUCGGUACAAAAUUUGACCAAAUCUAGCAACUUAGUCCUCUAUCUUUUUCUUUCCCCAGUCUAACUCCGAAUUUCGUUCUUCUUGAUCUAUAAUAGAAAAUUUAGCUUAUUUAAUACUCACAUUCAUCAAAAAAAUCCUUGACUCGAACUUUGGAAAAAUUACGAUUUUGCCCCUAAAUUUUGCAUAAUUACACUUUUACGCCAAAACUCGGAAAUUAAACUUCAUCUCUUAUUCUUAUGUUUUAUGACAUGCUGAAAAUUUUUCCCUUUUAUGACAACAUCAAAUUCUCACUCUAGCAUGUACUUAUGAACAUUAGGUAUUUUUACCGAUUAUGUCAUUUUACUCGUUUUCACUUAAAAUCGCUUAGCAAAAGUUAUUUAACAUAAUUUCAAGCUUCAUAUUCUACCAUAAAACAUCAAAAUAAACACAUUUCACCUAUGGGUAUUUUUCCAAAUACAAACUCUAGGUUAAAUUAUUGCUAGAAUAAGCUAAAUCAAGUUACUGGAACUACAAAAACGUAGAGAACAUUAAAAAUUGGGCUUGAAAUCACUUACUAUGGAGCUUGGAAGCUUGAAAACCCUAACUAUGGCUUCCCCCUUACUAUUUUCGUUCAC